rnacentral:lncRNA from 1 species
UCCAUUCAUUCAAGAAAUAUUUAUUAAAGACCUACAAUGUGCCAAGCACCAUUCUAGACCCUGGGGAUAUGGCCUGAAACCAGACAGGAGAGCCCUGCCCACGUGGAGCUCAUUCUUGUGGAGGAGAUGUGUGGCUACAGAGUGAAGAGGUAUAGACAGUGGAAGAAGCACCAGUCUCAGAGGCAGCAAUUUUGGAGUCUGGUCUCAGGUACGCCCUUGACUAUCUGCAAUCUUUGACAAAUUGCUUCCUUCCCUGAGCCUGUUUAUUCACCUGCAAAUUAUGGGAAGGAAGCAGAGACUGUGGUCUGUUCACCCCAUAUCUGUGAUUUCCUUCUUCCUUACUCACACAGCCCUGAUUGGGGGAGCCAUGAACUAGCUACAAAAUCUGCAUUUCCCAACCUCCCUUAUAGCUAUGGCUGGCCGCAUGACCAAUUCUGAUCAAUGAGGCAAAAGCCAAAGUUGUUCCCUUCUUGGGUGGGGUUCCAAGAAGCCUCCUUCGAAAGGAAGCUGACUCCGCUGCCAGGCACCCUUCCCCCUCCUCCUUUCUCCUACCUAGAAUGUGGCCCUGAUGUUUGGAGAGCCAAUGGCCACCUUGUGAUUAGAAGGUGACCUUGAGGGUGAAAGCCACUAGCAGAGGCACUUGGCAGAGAAGAAAGCUAGGAGACGCUAGAGUCUUUGGCGGUACCUUGGAGUUGUGGCCCCAGUUCUGAUCACCCCUGGAUUUCACAGUGCAAGACAGAAA